rnacentral:lncRNA from 1 species
UAAAGGUUUACAGGAAUAAAUCAAAAUAAAAUGUCAUACAACACAUGCAAUACAUGUCCGUAACCAAUAAAUAUAAAAUUAUUCCUGUAUAAAUUCAUAAAUACCUAAUGAUUCUGAACAUCAGAAGUAACCAUCGUAAGACACUAACAAUAUAAAAUGAUAGAUUAACUCUUUUAAAAAUACAAAAGAGAGACAGCAACACUAAGAAUUAGCUUGAACUCCAAUGAUCAGACUNNNNN